UGUAUUGGCAAAUUGGGAUUUAAGCAAUGAAAUUAAGGUAGUACUCUCAGCUAGUUCAUAAAAUUGGUAUCACAUCUAUAAUUGAAAUUUUAAAAGUCCUUGGAUAAUUAGGUGUUCUAAAAGUAUAAUAAAUUUUGUGGUAAUUCAACAGUGUAAUUGGAAGAUAUCUUCGUUUUGAUUUAAGAACAUAUCGGAAGUUAGCAGUUUGGAGUUUGGUAGAAUUUCUAUAAUAUCUAGAGAUCUACUAAUUAAAUUAAGGUGAAAGUUGGCAUGGUAUUGAAGGACUUGAAGAUCAAGCCGCACACCAAUUUUGAGUUGAAGUUAAUAGUUGAAGAAGGAGAAAUCUUUGCUGGAACUUUUGCUUCAUCUUUCAAGUUGGCAGCCAAGUGACAUCAUUGCAGUUUUUGGAGGUUUUCUCACAAUCUGCAAGUUGGAUUGGACUGAAAAUUCUUGAUCAUAUAGAAGACUUAUAUUGACAAUUACAUAAAAAAUUUCACAUCAAGUGGAUGGUCAAAUUAGAAGUUACAACUUGUCAAAGG
rnacentral:lncRNA from 1 species